rnacentral:tRNA from 1 species
GGGUGUGUGGUAGAGUGGUAGAGUGUGUGCUUAGCAUGCACAAGGUCCUGGGUUCAAUCCCCAGUUCCUCCA